rnacentral:rRNA from 1 species
CGUUAGCUACAGGCUUAACACAUGCAAGUCGAGGGGCAGCAUGGUCUUAGCUUGCUAAGGCCGAUGGCGACCGGCGCACGGGUGAGUAACACGUAUCCAACCUGCCGUCUACUCUUGGACAGCCUUCUGAAAGGAAGAUUAAUACAAGAUGGCAUCAUGAGUCCGCAUGUUCACAUGAUUAAAGGUAUUCCGGUAGACGAUGGGGAUGCGUUCCAUUAGAUAGUAGGCGGGGUAACGGCCCACCUAGUCUUCGAUGGAUAGGGGUUCUGAGAGGAAGGUCCCCCACAUUGGAACUGAGACACGGUCCAAACUCCUACGGGAGGCAGCAGUGAGGAAUAUUGGUCAAUGGGCGAGAGCCUGAACCAGCCAAGUAGCGUGAAGGAUGACUGCCCUAUGGGUUGUAAACUUCUUUUAUAAAGGAAUAAAGUCGGGUAUGCAUACCCGUUUGCAUGUACUUUAUGAAUAAGGAUCGGCUAACUCCGUGCCAGCAGCCGCGGUAAUACGGAGGAUCCGAGCGUUAUCCGGAUUUAUUGGGUUUAAAGGGAGCGUAGAUGGAUGUUUAAGUCAGUUGUGAAAGUUUGCGGCUCAACCGUAAAAUUGCAGUUGAUACUGGAUAUCUUGAGUGCAGUUGAGGCAGGCGGAAUUCGUGGUGUAGCGGUGAAAUGCUUAGAUAUCACGAAGAACUCCGAUUGCGAAGGCAGCCUGCUAAGCUGCAACUGACAUUGAGGCUCGAAAGUGUGGGUAUCAAACAGGAUUAGAUACCCUGGUAGUCCACACGGUAAACGAUGAAUACUCGCUGUUUGCGAUAUACAGCAAGCGGCCAAGCGAAAGCGUUAAGUAUUCCACCUGGGGAGUACGCCGGCAACGGUGAAACUCAAAGGAAUUGACGGGGGCCCGCACAAGCGGAGGAACAUGUGGUUUAAUUCGAUGAUACGCGAGGAACCUUACCCGGGCUUAAAUUGCAGAUGAAUUACGGUGAAAGCCGUAAGCCGUAAGGCAUCUGUGAAGGUGCUGCAUGGUUGUCGUCAGCUCGUGCCGUGAGGUGUCGGCUUAAGUGCCAUAACGAGCGCAACCCUUGUUGUCAGUUACUAACAGGUUCCGCUGAGGACUCUGACAAGACUGCCAUCGUAAGAUGUGAGGAAGGUGGGGAUGACGUCAAACCAGCACGGCCCUUACGUCCGGGGCUACACACGUGUUACAAUGGGGGGGUACAGAGGGCCGCUACCACGCGAGUGGAUGCCAAUCCCAAAAACCUCUCUCAGUUCGGACUGGAGUCUGCAACCCGACUCCACGAAGCUGGAUUCGCUAGUAAUCGCGCAUCAGCCACGGCGCGGUGAAUACGUUCCCGGGCCUUGUACACACCGCCCGUCAAGCCAUGGGAGCCGGGGGUACCUGAAGUGCGUAACCAAGAGGAGCGCCCUAGGGUAAAACUGGUGACUG